UACUCAGCUUGAUGUGCUCCACCCCCAUCUCUUCAUCUAGGGUCUUUCAUGCAAUCAUUGUUUUGUCUUUGGAUUGAUUAAUGGUGGUUUAGAACUCGAAUCUCAAGGAAACUCAUACCACGAGCCCAUAUUUGUUUUCUAGAAUUAUGCAUGCACCGCUUUCCCAUUUGUAAAAUGAUAUGUCCAUGAAUAUUACCUAGGUAUGAUCCGGAACUAGAGUGAUGAGAGUCAUUUCAGAC
rnacentral:lncRNA from 1 species